GUGUUACAUCAGGCAUUAGGGUAUGACUGCAUCAAAAGACCAAAGGUACGGCUUUCAUUUUGUCAAGAUAAGAAUGAGGCGCGGAGAGGACAUACAAUGUGUAUCGGUGGUAUACGUCAACAUUUGAUGAAUGAUACAGUUCGAUCUACGAUCACAAAAAUGCACGAGGCAAUCAGGACGACGGUGAAUCCCCCGGCGGCAAAUAUGAUGAAAAUGG
rnacentral:lncRNA from 1 species